CAGCAUCCGUCUGAUCUGGAGGACGAUCUGUGACGCUGCAUCUCAGAUCCCUCCAGGAACAGAAGCUGGGCUCGGGACCAGCUGGGAUGGAAGAAGCUCCGAGGAGGCGUUCAUGGCACCAUGAAGAGCAUCGGAUGGACUCUCCUCCUCCUCCUCCGGCCCUCAAUCCGUCUCUCUUCUGGUCCACUUUUGAUGACAAACCCCCCAACGUGCCCCCCUUACAUCCCUGACUCUGGUCCACUUCUGAUGACCAACUCCCCAACGUGCCCCCCCCGUACAUCCCUGACUCUGGUCCACUUCUGAUGACCAACUCCCCAACGUGCCCCCCGUACAUCCCUGACUCUGGUCCACUUCUGAUGACCAACUCCCCAACGUGCCCCCCGUACAUCGCUGACUCUGGUCCACUUCUGAUGACCAACUCCCCAACGUGCCCCCCGUACAUCGCUGACUCUGGUGCUCCAUGCUCACAUGAUGCCACAUGGGACAGUACAGCUAAACGUCUGUGAUUUCAUAAAGCACCACACCGUCACAGUGUGGAAAAGAUCUCCUAGUUUUUAGGGAACAGCCAUUUAUUUCAAUCACAGUGAUCUCACAAUGCUC